rnacentral:lncRNA from 1 species
ACUAUACCACUUAAAAUUUUUAGUAUUUUUUCUUUUCAUACUUAUAAUUGGUAAUUUCUGUUAGCUUUUCACCAAUGAACUUUGAAAUCUUUCUUUAUGUUAUCAAUAAGCAACUGCCCUGGAAUGUUAGAAAACAAUCCAACAAGAGACUUGCUUUCAUCAAGCACUUUAUAAAGACUUUAUGAAAAAGCACCAAAAGCAUUGGAAAAGGCCACUGACUCUCAAUCAUCUUUUUCUCAAGAAGAAAACAAUGGAAAAGCAAAUCUCCUCUCAGUUAUCCCCCAGCUUGGGGUUGGGGGGUAUUAGAGACAUUGUGAAAUCAAAUCUUGUGUUAUAUUUUUCUCCUGGUUCGCUGUUUUUGAGAAGGUUUAUGGGCUAUUUGGCUGGUGAGACACGAUCCCCUCCUAAGAAAAUCCUUUUCAGGAGCCAAAAUAUACAAAUACAAACAAACAAAAAAUACUCAGAGAAAACACUUCCCUUCUUCCCCCCUCCUGAUGAUGAGUGAGGAGUUUUGAGAGCUUUGGGGUCAGUGCCCUUCUAAACUUCCCCUCCCCCAGUAAUGCAGCUGUGCAGUGGGUGCUAAGGGCAGCGGCUUGGACCAGGCACAGCCCAGCCUGCUGGCAGCAGAGAGAUAAACGGGUAGGUGGCAGCAGAGAAAGGAACCCUUCAGAGUGGCUGUUGACAUUAACCCUGCACAGGAGAAGAAAUUGCAUGUGACAUAUGAAAGUGGAGCACGGAAGGGCAGAGAUGAAAGCUGCAUUUAGGAUGGCUGCCCCUUUACGAAGAAAGGUUCUCUUGAAAUAACCAGUGAUAUUCUGGAUGAAGACAGAUUGUGUGGAGUUUGCUUUUUAAAGUGGAAGAAUAACACAGAAUAAGAAAUCAGUAGUUCUACCUUGCUGGAUUCAGUGUGAUUUCUUUUUCUAAAAUAAAAGCACUGGAUGGAAAUGAAACACAUGGAGUGUGCCUUGUUAUGUCAGCAGCUGUUAUUUUACUCACUUCAUAUAUGUCACUUAUCUUAGACCAGAUACCAUCCUCAACCCAGUUUUUAUUCUUUCCCCCUAACUGUCUUCUGCAAACAAAGUCUUACUUCCUUUAGUUCUGAAGUGAGUGCUCCUUUUGAUGCAGAGGUAGGUACUCACUGAAUGCUCAUGUUGAGUGGAGCCA